CACAUGCCGAACUCUGCCAGCGUUUCUUUGUCCCUGGUUUCACUGAUGAUGAAAAGACUGAUGCAGAUUUCAUCAUCCAGAAUAUACUCCCGGAAAUGUCUGAGAAGGGGACAAUCAGAGAAGCCAGAGAGAGUGCCCUCAUCAAUUUCUUUCAAGAUUUUCUUCAAGAAAUUGAAACUGCAGGUGAUGUCCAUGAAGAGCAGCCUGAAGCAGACCUUUCCCCUGUAACUGUGCCCUUUGUUAUGCAGUGGCUUACUGGUCAGGCACACAAGCCACUUCUUGCCUCUGAACUACACGAUUUCCAAAUAACACUUAUAUUUGACCAUGAAUGUACACAGCGAAUGCCAGAACACAAAAUAUGCUUCCCUGUUGUAAGUGCAUGUGCUAAAACUAUUACAUUUCCUACUGUACAUAUGACCAGCUAUGACACAUUUAAAACAGUCAUGGUACAGGCUAUUCAGGCUGACCAUGGAUUCCACAGAGUUUAAAGGGGAAUAAAUGCCUUUCUUGGAUUAAAUCACAAAUAACCACUGGUUUCCAGCUCUUCAGGACCAGAAUUGCACAAAUGUUGUUAUAAAAUCACCUCAGUGUUAACUGGUUGAAAAACAAUUGUCUUUUGUACCUGCAGUUCUCAACUCUGGACCUGCCCAUUUCCCUUUUUCCAUUUAGAGUGAGUGUAUUGAAUCAGUCUCGCUUUUAUAAGUAAUUAUUAAUUUACAUGCCAACAUACCU